GUGCGAAAGAUUUGGAGGCAGCAAUAGGCGUGGAGGGAAUUUGAGAUGGGGGCUGCAGCCAAGGGCUUUGAGAUUUUUAUGCUGGCCUCCCCUGACCCCGCAAAAACCGACAGCGGAAGGAUGGAGGAUCUGAAGACAAAUCACAGAACCAGAGGCUCUCAGGAGACGCCAGCUCACCCACAGUAAACGUGCACUUUUAUGGUCCUCAGCACAGCUUGGCAUGAGCUCGUGUGCCAUGCUGUGCACAAAUACAUCCAACGUAACAAGCAGCUGGCCCAUAGUGAGUGCUCAAGAAAUAUUUGAUGGAUGAUGAACGAACCUCUCAACUCAGAUCUGGUCCAGAACCCACCAGAUGGUGAUCAGUGGCUCCCUCGCGCUCUGCUUCCUGGUGGGUCCGGCUGUUGCAGGCGAUGACGGAAGCUUGGGGAGCAGAGGAAGGAAGAAGCCGACUGUUUGUCUCCCUCUCUGCUCUGGGGAGCAUCUCUGUCAGUGACUCCAUCUUCAAGCCUCCAGCUCCUCCAAAGUUCCAGUUUCCACUGGGUGGUCCUGGCUCCUGGGCUCUGGUAGCCUCCUUCCUCACUUGUUCCUCCAGUCCUGAGUGGACCGUAUUUCCACCAUGAAGACCAAACAACUAUCACGGCGUGGAGAAAGAGAAGGGCGGCCCCG
rnacentral:lncRNA from 1 species